UUCGGCCGUGGAUCCGCCCCACAAGAUCUAAAUAUCUCUAAGAAUCAAACUAACAGGCGUCUCAUCAGUCUUUCCCACUGAAAAGAUCAUGUGAUUGGUAUCGCCACCAGUGAAUCACCCAAAAAAGGAGAAAGGAAAAAAAAAAAACAACCCACACACCACAAUCCUGCUCCAAGACAAGAGACGUCUUACAAUUAAUUGUGCGAGAAACAGAGAGUACUUGUAGGCCUUAACUGAGAACUCACUCUUGCGCAUUGCUUCCAAGUACAAUUUUAACCAUCUAGAAGUUACUAGAACACUGAGGGCACCCCUUCCUUUUAGAGGUGGACGAGCGGGAGGGGACGCAUUAGCUUAAUACUUCCUCCUCGCGGCCACAUCAAAACCGCCAGGUGUGCAAGUCCUAUUCGAGUUGAUGGUUCCUCGGAAUGACUGCAAAGGGAAGGGAAGGAACCGAUGGGAAGAUAUCUUCCUCCCCAGAAAAGGGGUAAAAAUCGGGGGAACCUGGUGUGCCAAACCAUAGGAAGCAAGAAAAGGAAUACGACCGUUAAAAAAAAGCAAAGCAAAACAAAACGAAACCAAGACCAACCGCAAACAAAAAACCAUCCCAGAACGGGAUCCUCUAGGAGAGAAAAGGGCUCAUUCUUCCACCCCGGCCCGUGGAAACCCGAGAAGCUGAAUCAGGUCAAACGUCCUAGUAACCUCGGGGAGGCAGGACCAGGACCGCAAAACCCAGGUUCCGGGCCCGUCAGAGGACAUUGUUAUCGCCUGGAGACAAGGGACAUGCAGCCAAAAGAAAAGUCGGAAGAAAAAUAAGCGCAGAUGUGUCUCAGGAAGUCAAGCGACAGGAAUGACAGCCGCGAUUCCCGUGUCGUUUGAAUUUUGCCCUACCGGUCAGCUCUUUUUAACAUUUGCGAGUCAUCGGGGUGUCAUUUCCAAGUAAACACUCGUUUCUGUA